rnacentral:rRNA from 1 species
UGUAAUAACUGUAUAAUCCCUGAGGGGGAAAGAUUUAUCGCCGAUAGAAUGGCCCGCGUCAGAUUAGGCAGUUGGUGGGGUAAAGGCCUACCAAACCGACGAUCCGUAGCUGGUCUGAGAGGAUGAUCAGCCACAUUGGGACUGCGACACGGCCCAAACUCCUACGGGAGGCAGCAGUAGGGAAUAUUGGACAAUGGGCGAAAGCCUAAUCCAGCAAUACCGCGUGAAUGAUGAAGGUCUUAGGAUUGUAAAGUUCUUUCGGUAGGGAAGAUAAUGACGG